GGUUAUAUGGAUUCCAUGAAUCAAAUCUUUUAUCUUCUUUUAGCUUAAAUUUGAUGUGUUUCGGACGUCCGAAUAUUACGUUCACAAUGAAUAUCCCACAAACGUGAGAUGUCGACGUAGAAAAGAGUGACAUUAAGACGGAGAUUCUACGUACGAUGGAUGGCCAAAACGGAUAUCCAAUCGCAUAAUUGAACAACAAAACUUUUGUAAGAAUAGUUUUUUUUAACAACAAGUCCAUUAACUGCUAAGAAAAAUAAAACCCUCCAUUUUAUGACAUUCUCUGGCUACUUCCUGCUACCCAACUAGCGGUAGAUGUUUAAAAAGCACUGAUUAAAUCUCUUUUGGGUUUUAUUUUUUUAGCAGUUAAUAUCUCUGAAAAUAAGCCAUGCAUAACAAAAGGGCGUUGCACAAGAUUGCAGUUUGCAUGAAUAUAAUUUAAAAACGAGAUAGGCCAUUCCAUGUGAAAUUCAUUCUACCUUUUUUUGGUACACAGUAAAUUUGAGGAGCUGUUCAUAUAGCGUUAGUUUGUAAUAAUUGCAAAUAUGCGGUCAGUCAUGCGGGGUAAACAUUUCAACUAGGGCUUUUUGGGACACCUUCAAGCCAGCCAAAAAAGGGGGGAGUUUCCCAAGUACAGGUACGACAAAAAUAGAUAUAUUCAUUAAAAAAUUGUAGCUAACUACAGUAUUCAAAUUAAUUAAUUCUGAAAAAAAUAUAAAGAUGAGGGGAGAAAAUUUCCCAUUACUUUUGUAUAAAAAAGGGGAAAUUCAUCUAAUUUUGUGCUACUUAAAGCUACUUGAAAAUUAUUUUAGAAUCCCACGUAGCCCUGAUAUCCCCUACUUCCCAUAGCAGAAUGGUAAAAAAAAGAUCCCAUCUAUGAUUUGGUGUGUUUGAGCGAGGAUUGCUUGAUAAAAUGAAGAAAAGGAACUGUACGGCAUAAAACGUUAAAGGUAGCUUUCAACAAUAAAGAAAAAGAGAAAAUGAAAGGCGGGAUUUGGUUCAAAAAAUAUAUUUUUGCUUUGUGGUUUUCGUUUGUCGAUAAAGAAGUCAAGCAAUCAGCUAACACGUAAAUCAGUUGUUUGCUGGAACCGUUCCACGACACAAAUGUAAACAGGGAGUUCCUGAUAUUAUAUUUGAUCAUAUUGUUACGCGCCAGGAAGAGAGGACGAAUAGAGGAGACUGGGGAUGUCCAGAUUGGACGGACAAAGUGACGCAGUUUAAACGUCGAGGACGAGACGUUGGAAAAACGAGAGAGUAGAGAGGCGGAAGAGGCAGAGGAGGACUAGCAGGAAAGGAGUACAGAGGUGUCGAGAACAAGAGAAGAGGAAGCUAGGGACCAGAUACGGGGAACUAAGAGAGUUAAUUACACGUAACUGUUUGCAUAAAUGGAAUUUACUGUGCGUGUUGUGUGCCUGUUAUAUAGUCAAGGUGAGGUCGACUGGUCUUCUGGCGUUGGAUGAAAACAAUGUGGAGGACUUUGUAAAGAGGAAGCAUGCAGGGCGAUUUUCCCCACAGUGAAGCCAGUCGGCUGCUCCUUUCACUUGACACAGUCCUUCUACCGCAACAUCGAGGCUAAAGAACUAAGUCCAGCCUAUAGAAAGGACAGCCAGACCCGGAAAACCUGUCGGGAAUUGCUUAGCCUGCACCUGCUGCCAGCCGAAAAAAUUCGCAAAAGGUUCGAGAGCAUCGCAUCCAUCGCGACAGGGCUAAUGUUGCGUUUCUGCAACUAUGUGGAAACAAUCUACAUAAACAGCACAAUUUGGCCACCAGAUUGCUGGUCUAUGUUUAUGCAGCAAGUUAUGACCAAUAACAACACACAAUAACCUCAAAGCUGUUGCUGAGAAGUUAUCUAUUCUGUUGAUUAUUUUUAAUUUUCUAACUGUAUUUUUGUACUAGGACUUGCAUCAACCAAUCUUGUGAUCUUUUUUAAUAAAGAUUCACGGGGAGGUGGAGAAAAUUGCCAUGGCAGCAAAAAAUUUUUCACAAAAACAAGUCCUUAAAAAACUGAACAAGGACGGAGAAUCAAAACAGCGCCAUCUGACCACCAUAUGGGAAUCUUUUACCAGACCGGACAACCCUAUUUCCCCUAAAGAGAUGCUUUUGCAGCUCGCGUUGCUCACAAAGAAGCACUCAAAAGCGGAUCUGAGAGAGCUGAGGGACGGCCCAGAGAACGAAGAUUCUGAUUAAUGUCUUCACUAUAGUCUUCCCUUUUAUUUAUUCUGUUCUAUCUGUAUGGUUUAAAUACAAUUCCUUAUAAGCACUA